rnacentral:lncRNA from 1 species
GCAGUCCUUGACAUUUUGUAAAGAGCCCCCACACCGAAACGGCCAAACCCUAAUCCCCUCCGGCUGCUCCUACGCGCCGAUGCGGCUCGCCACGCCGCCCACUUCGCACAUCUUGGCUCGCCGUCGUGCUCCUCCCCCUCCACCAUGGACCCCUGGGGCGCGGCUCCCGUGGGCAAUGGCUCGCCGGGCGAGCGCAACUCCGGCCGUGGGCGGGGCUCCGGCGGGCGCGUGGCCGAGGCUGUGGUGGUGCUCGCGUCCUCCCUCCCCAGAUCUCGUGUGGCAGCUCCGAUUUCGGUGUCCCCCGAGAUCCAUUAAGCGAGGCGGAUUGUGGUGCGACGGACCCUGAGCCCUCUACCUCUGCGAGCUCGAUAGCCCUCUACCUCUGCGAGCUCGUCAGUUUAUCGGUGUGCCUUCCUCGUCAGAUCCCACUGGAUCUAGAAGCAGGGAGAUGGGCGCGUGCUGCUCCUUCAGCUGGUCGUUCCACGACCACGCGUUGCUACUACUUCCCUCGGCGCACUCGAUCUG